rnacentral:miRNA from 1 species
AUGGGAUGAUUUGCUCUCUCUCUCUCUCUCUCUCUCUCUCUCUCUCUCUCUCUGUGUGUGUGUGCGUGAGAGAGAGAGAGAGAGAGAGAGAGAGAGAGAGAGAGAAAUACUCAAGAU